UUGUAGAAUGAACCGGCGAGUUACGAUCCCGUGCAAGGUUAAGCUGAAGUGGCGGAGCCGCAGCGAAAGCGAGUCUGAAUAGGGCGUUUAGUACGUGGUCGUAGACCCGAAACCAGGUUAUCUACCCAUGUCCAGGGUGAAGUUCAGGUAACACUGAAUGGAGGCCCGAACGCACGCACGUUGAAAAGUGCGGGGAUGAGGUGUGGGUAGCGGAGAUAUUCCAAUCGAACCUGGAG
rnacentral:rRNA from 1 species